rnacentral:rRNA from 1 species
GUGGAUUAGAUACCCUGGUAGUCCACACCGUAAACGAUGAAUGCUAGGUGUGGGGGCGUAAGCCUCCGUGCCGCAGCUAACGCAAUAAGCAUUCCACCUGGGGAGUACGGCCGCAAGGUUGAAACUCAAAGGAAUUGACGGGAGCCCGCACAAGCAGUGGAGUAUGUGGUUUAAUUCGACGCAACGCGAAGAACCUUACCAGGACUUGACAUCCCGAGAACCCGGCGUAAUGGCUGGGGUGCCCUUCGGGGAAUUCGGUGACAGGUGGUGCAUGGCUGUCGUCAGCU